rnacentral:rRNA from 1 species
CCUACGGGAGGCAGCAGUGAGGAAUAUUGGUCAAUGGGCGCGAGCCUGAACCAGCCAAGUAGCGUGAAGGAUGACUGCCCUACGGGUUGUAAACUUCUUUUAUAAAGGAAUAAAGUGAGGCAAGUGUGCCUUUUUGUAUGUACUUUAUGAAUAAGGAUAGGCUAACUCCGUGCCAGCAGCAGCGGUAAUACGGAGGAGGCGAGCGUUAUCCGGAUUUAUUGGGUUUAAAGGGUGCGUAGGCGGGGCGUUAAGUCAGUGGUCAAAUCGAGGGGCUCAACCCCGUCCCGCCAUUGAGACUGGCGCUCUAGAGUGGAAUAGAGGUAAGCGGAAUUCCAGGUGUAGCGGUGAAAUGCAUAGAUAUCACGCAGAACCCCGAUGGCGAAGGCAGCAUGCCGGCUCCCGACUGACGCUGAAGCACGAAAGCGUGGGGAUCGAACAGGAUUAGAUACCCGGGUAGUC